rnacentral:rRNA from 1 species
UACGUAGGGUGCAAGCGUUGUCCGGAAUUAUUGGGCGUAAAGAGCUCGUAGGCGGUUUGUUGCGUCGGCUGUGAAAUCCCGAGGCUCAACCUCGGGUCUGCAGUCGAUACGAGCAAACUAGAGUGUUGCAGGGGAGACUGGAAUUCCUGGUGUAGCGGUGAAAUGCGCAGAUAUCAGGAGGAACACCAGUGGCGAAGGCGCCGCUCUGGGCCGAGACUGACGCUGAGGAGCGAAAGUGUGGGGAGCGAACAGG